UAUAGUCAGUUUGUAAAAGAGAAAAAUAGAUAUUCUAGCGCAUAUAGGGAGGCAAAAGAAAAAGCCCGCCUGUGAAGCUGUCAAGGUCCUCACAGUACAAUUUUCUCUCUGCCUCAGCGCCUCCUCCUCCCCUUUCUGGAGGCUGGGAAGUUCAAGACCAAUGCACGAGAAUUUGGUCUAAAGAGAAUCUUCUUGCUCUGAACACACAUAGUAGAAGGCAGAAGGGCAAGAGAGAGAACAAAGUCUGUGUCUCCACAUGGCAGAAGAGCAGAGGAGACAGAACCUACUCCUCUAUGGCAACCACCCCAUCAAUGACAAAAAUCCUAGAAGGAUGUAUGUAUAGGAAGUUGAAGUGUUGAGAAGAGAAUGGCUCAGAGUCAAGCGGGAACAAGUUCUAUAUCUGGAUAAAGUGCGAAGGAGCUUAAAUCUGUUGAAACCCAAAAUUUGCCUCCGUUUAAUGGCUUAGUUUCUUCUGUCUAAUGGUAACUGGAAUUUCCCUUUCUAAUUGUGUAUUGAAGAACGAGAACGACUCAUGUUUAAGUGUUAGAUAAGAAUUAAAUUAUAUUCAUAUAUUAGAGCUCCAGAAGCUAAGCAGUCCAAGAUCAAAGUGCCCACAGAUGCAGUGUCUGGUGACAGCACUUUUCCUGGCUGAAGUUAGUUCGGCAUGAAGUUAGCAUAUUUCUUUCAACGGCAAAGCACAGAGUUCUACCAAGCAGAUAAGACACCGUGAGGAUGAAAAUAAAAAUUUUGUAUUUGCAACAAAUGUGUAUUCUGCAAGUGAAAUUGAACCUGUCUUCUGAAAGUUAAAAAAUUAGGAUAUUUCAUCUUUGUACAAAAAUAUACAAAUAUAAGGCAGGAUAGAAGGAGAAUAUAGAGGAAAGACACAUGCAGCUACCUAUCUUUGUCAUCUGAGCAUAAGUGAAGGAUAAAAUGUUACAAAUACAAAUAAUUUAUCACAAAUAUGCUUUGGAAUGUUUUCAGUGUGUCAGGAUUGAUAUUAACCUGCACAAGAAUGCCUAAAAGCAAGAUUGGGAAUGAAAAAUUGGCAAGACAUUAUAAUGAAACACCAGUUUCCUUUGUUCAAGUUGCCUGGAGCCCUUUAUCCAUCUUCUGGCCUUACCUCCUCACUGUAUUUCUAGAAAAUGAUUGCUCCAUGAUGAGCUUCCUAUAUUCAACUAUGUGCAAUAACUGAAAAUAAAAGAAUUGUGGAAAAUUUCUAAAAAUGUUGCACAGAAAAUAGGAAAAAGGAAAAUAAUAACAAGAAUAAGAAAUCACAGAAAUAUUACCAAAUCAGAAAAGUGACACUCUAAAGGACUCUAAAAGGUAAACAUUCUGAUAAAAAGUAUUUCCCAUGAAAUCUAAGAAUAUAGUUACAAUAUGGCCUCUGGAUUUACAGGCUUCAAAAAAGAUCUACAGUGGCUUAAGAAAGAAAU
rnacentral:lncRNA from 1 species